GUUUGAAAGUGUUUAUGACGUCGAAUAUCGACGUCAUAAACACCAUCAAGUUUGGUGUUUAUGACGUCGAUAUUCGACGUCAUAAACACCA
rnacentral:miRNA from 1 species